CCGUAAACGAUGUCGACCAGCCGUUGGGUGCCUAGCGCACUUUGUGGCGAAGUUAACGCGAUAAGUCGACCGCCUGGGGAGUACGGCCGCAAGGUUAAAACUCAAAUGAAUUGACGGGGGCCCGCACAAGCGGUGGAGCAUGUGGUUUAAUUCGAUGCAACGCGAAGAACCUUACCUACUCUUGACAUCCUGCGAACUUGUGAGAGAUCACUUGGUGCCUUCGGGAGCGCAGAGACAGGUGCUGCAUGGCUGUCGUCAGCUCGUGUUGUGAAAUGUUGGGUUAAGUCCCGUAACGAGCGCAACCCUUGUCCUUAUUUGCCAGCGGGUAAUGCCGGGAACUCUAAGGAGACUGCCGGUGACAAACCGGAGGAAGGUGGGGACGACGUCAAGUCAUCAUGGCCCUUACGAGUAGGGCUACACACGUGCUACAAUGGCCGGUACAAAGGGUUGCGAGCUCGCGAGAGUCAGCUAAUCCCGAAAAGCCGGUCUCAGUCCGGAUCGGAGUCUGCAACUCGACUCCGUGAAGUCGGAAUCGCUAGUAAUCGUGAAUCAGAAUGUCACGGUGAAUACGUUCCCGGGCCUUGCACACACCGCCCGU
rnacentral:rRNA from 1 species